UCGCGGCGGUGCGCGCAGAAGGGUCUGGGCUCGAGCCUGCCUGGAGCCGCCGCCGGUGCAGAUCUUGGUGGUAGUAGCAAAUACUCCAGCGAGGCCCUGGAGGACUGACGUGGAGAAGGGUUUCGUGUGAACAGCCGUUGCACACGAGUCAGUCGAUCCUAAGCUCUAGGAGAAAUCCGAUGUAAACGGCGUUGGGAAAAAUUGAUUUAGAAAAAAGCCCACUGAUCGGGCGAAAGGGAAUCCGGUUCCUAUUCCGGAACCCGGCAGCGGAACCGUUGUUUGUCGGGCCCUCACAAGGGGUUCGUCAGGGCAACCUAAAAGGGCCCGGAGACGCCGUCGGGAGCCCCGGAAAGAGUUUUCUUUUCUGCAUGAGCGUUUGAGUUCCCUGGAAUCCUCUCGCAGGGAGAUAGGGUUUGGAACGCGAAGAGCACCGCAGUUGCGGCGGUGCCCGGGAAUCCCCGACGGACCUUGAAAAUCCGGGAGAGGGCCACGUGGAGGUGUCGCGCCGGCUCGUACCCAUAUCCGCAGCAGGUCUCCAAGGUGAAGAGCCUCUAGUC
rnacentral:rRNA from 1 species